rnacentral:misc_RNA from 1 species
CUGUUGUUGAGUUCCGAUACCAGCAGAUCCCACAAAAGGAUCAGAUAAUUUGGAUUCCUGUUGUUGAGUUCCAGAACCAGCAGAUUGAAAAUCAGCCUCCCAACCAGAAAAGGAUUCACCACUUUCAUCUUCCUUAGGCCUUGCAGGAACUUCCUCAGAUGGCUUUAAAUUCUCAAACAGGCUAAAAUUUCCCUGAUUACUUG